CCAUGUCAUCAAGUUUAACUAAGCCAAAUUUCCACAUGAUAAAAUUAAAGCCAAAUUCACAUUUAAAAUAAAGUCAAGUUUUUUAUUUCAUGGAGCUGUCAAACAAAAUUGUUGGUAGAUUUGAAAAUAAUCCCUAAGAAAUUGUAAAAAUAUAAAAAAGCACUUUUAGAUUCCAGGUUUGUCCGUAGCUUCAAAUAUGUUUUCCAUCAAUUUGAAAAAAAUGUUUAAACAAUUCAAAUACCAUGAAUCUUUUUGAACAAUGACACUAUAUUGCCAUUGAAUUAUGUCCAAAGUUUGGGUCAUAACAAAAUUC
rnacentral:lncRNA from 1 species